GACGAACGCUGGCGGCGUGCUUAACACAUGCAAGUCGAGCGGUAAGGCCCUUUCGGGGGUACGACGAGCGGCGAACGGGUGAGUAACACGUGGGUGACCUGCCCUCAGCUCUGGGAUAAGCCCGGGAAACGUGGGUCUAAUACCGGAUAUGACUUCAUGACGCAUGUUGUGGAGUGGAAAGCCUUGUGCGGCUGAGGAUGGGCCCGCGGCCUAUCAGCUUGUUGGUGGGGU
rnacentral:rRNA from 1 species